GUAACAAGGUCUCCGUUGGUGAACCAGCGGAGGGAUCAUUACCGAGUUUACAACUCCCAAACCCAAUGUGAACCAUACCAAACUGUUGCCUCGGCGGGGUCACGCCCCGGGUGCGUCGCAGCCCCGGAACCAGGCGCCCGCCGGAGGGACCAACCAAACUCUUUUCUGUAGUCCCCUCGCGGACGUUAUUUCUUACAGCUCUGAGCAAAAAUUCAAAAUGAAUCAAAACUUUCAACAACGGAUCUCUUGGUUCUGGCAUCGAUGAAGAACGCAGCGAAAUGCGAUAAGUAAUGUGAAUUGCAGAAUUCAGUGAAUCAUCGAAUCUUUGAACGCACAUUGCGCCCGCCAGUAUUCUGGCGGGCAUGCCUGUCCGAGCGUCAUUUCAACCCUCGAACCCCUCCGGGGGGUCGGCGUUGGGGACCUCGGGAGCCCCUAAGACGGGAUCCCGGCCCCGAAAUACAGUGGCGGUCUCGCCGCAGCCUCUCCUGCGCAGUAGUUUGCACAACUCGCACCGGGAGCGCGGCGCGUCCACGUCCGUAAAACACCCAACUUCUGAAAUGUUGACCUCGGAUCAGGUAGGAAUACCCGCUGAACCUAAGCAUAUCA
rnacentral:misc_RNA from 1 species